AUUGAACGCUGGCGGCAGGCCUAACACAUGCAAGUCGAACGGUAACAGGGAUCAGCUUGCUGAUUCGCUGACGAGUGGCGGACGGGUGAGUAAUGUCUGGGAAACUGCCUGAUGGAGGGGGAUAACUACUGGAAACGGUAGCUAAUACCGCAUAACGUCGCAAGACCAAAGAGGGGGACCUUCGGGCCUCUUGCCAUCGGAUGUGCCCAGAUGGGAUUAGCUAGUAGGUGGGGUAACGGCUCACCUAGGCGACGAUCCCUAGCUGGUCUGAGAGGAUGACCAGCCACACUGGAACUGAGACACAGUCCAGACUCCUACGGGAGGCAGCAGUGGGGAAUAUUGCACAAUGGGCGCAAGCCUGAUGCAGCCAUGCCGCGUGUAUGAAGAAGGCCUUCGGGUUGUAAAGUACUUUCAGCGGGGAGGAAGGGAGUAAAGUUAAUACCUUUGCUCAUUGACGUUACCCGCAGAAGAAGCACCGGCUAACUCCGUG
rnacentral:rRNA from 1 species